rnacentral:rRNA from 1 species
CCAGACUCCUACGGGAGGCAGCAGUGGGGAAUAUUGGACAAUGGGGGGAACCCUGAUCCAGCGACGCCGCGUGAGUGAAGAAGUAUUUCGGUAUGUAAAGCUCUAUCAGCAGGGAAGAAAAUGACGGUACCUGACUAAGAAGCCCCGGCUAACUACGUGCCAGCAGCCGCGGUAAUACGUAGGGGGCGAGCGUUAUCCGGAUUUACUGGGUGUAAAGGGAGCGUAGACGGUUCUGCAAGUCUGAAGUGAAAGCCCGUGGCUUAACCGCGGAACGGCUUUGGAAACUGUGGAACUGGAGUGCUGGAGAGGCAAGCGGAAUUCCUAGUGUAGCGGUGAAAUGCGUAGAUAUUAGGAGGAACACCAGUGGCGAAGGCGG